rnacentral:lncRNA from 1 species
CUCUAAUAUCCAGUAUGGCAGUAUCCCUAGAAAGACAAAUGGCAUUGCAAUACUGCUGACAGGGCUAGAAAGAAUCAAGAAUCUAUCACAAAGCAAAUUAAUGUGUAUUUCGGUAACGACAAUAUAAACCACCAAGAAUUAUAACUAAUUUGUAAAGGAGUAACACCCCUCACAAAUCAUCAAAUUUUUGUCUCUCUAAAAUUUCUUCAUAAAAUCAGUGUUUUUGUAUAAAGUCAGUACAACACGAACGAUUUGCAAUCUCGAUGUUUUUAACUAACUUUAUCUUACAUUGUAUGCAUUAUAUAUUAGAUUCACUUUAAUUAUAGACUAUAGGGUUUAUUAUGUGAUAGCAAGUUCAGCAGGCCCUUUCCGUAUAGCAUCAUGAGCAAUAUUUCAACACAGUGAGUGAGCGACUGGGUGGCAUUCGUGAAACAAUGGAACAUUCUGGGGCCGGUUGUUCAAAGCUGGACUAGCGUUACCCCUGGAUUAAAAAAUUAACCUGCCGUUUUAGUUUUUGUACAAAACUUCAGAAAAGAAAACUCCUAUAUUGAUCCACACAAGAUUUCUGAAGAAAUAUUUCAAAUUUUACGCGUAAGACGUUGGGAAGUUUGCUUUGAACUUUAGGUUAAGGUUACAGAACACCUUUGAGUGUUAAUUUUGCCUAAAAUUCUUUUAUUGGUUUCCAUGAAAGCAUUUGACUAGUUCUACUAUCUGACCAAGUUUGGACGAAAAAUGUUGAAAACUCGCAGAGUUAUUUAAUAAAAUACAUUUCGCUUGCAAUAAGAAAAACAUUGAAAAUGUAUAUUCAAAUUCAAUUUUCUCCCGAAGAAUUUUACGGCAAUUACUGAUUUUUAAACGAGUUGUGCUCCUGCGGGUUUUAACGAAUUUUUUCUCAAAUUUUCACAGAACAUAGCUAAAGACGUCAGUUUCAAAAUUGUGUUCGGCUUUGUUCUAAUUUUGGAUAUUUUAAUAAUAAGGAGCAAUUCACACAAACGAUUCAGAAAUAUAUUGCAGUCGUCAAAGAAAUCGCCAUAUCAGCGGAAUGACGGAAUAAACAAAAAUUUCCGAACACAAUUUUUUAGAACAACUAUUUUACUGUAUAAAAAUGAUAUUUUCAUAAAUAUAUCUUAAAACCAGCAGGAACAUAACUCAAAAGCGUAAAGGUACCGCGACUUAAGAUUUUCCUGAAUAAUUCUAACAUCAUUUUAUUGUUUGUCAAUUUUACAACUUUAUCAUAUUUUGCAUGCAUUAGCUAACAUUUGGUGAAAUUUUGACGAAAAUCGGACUGAUUUUGAGCGCGCAGUAGCGAUUUUCCACAAAACGCUAAAAGGGUGUCCUGUAACCUUAACUUAGUGGUAAGCUAACUGGCUUUAGAACAACCGGCCCCGAGCACUAAAGGCUCAGAUCCUUUCCUAUACGGGCACUACAAUGUUGGCCCCCAACAUCUUCAUAGGCGUACGAAAGAGGAGCCGCAGCCCCUCCCCCCCAACCCAUGUCUAUUGGAAAAUAGGGCAAUUCUAUUUAAAAAUCGGGUAAGUGAUGAAAGGGAAGUUAUGGGAAGUUUAUGAUGUUUGUCAGGCAAUCUCCAUCAAGGUUGGGGAAAAAAGUUUUCUUGCUUUCUUGAUGCGUAAUUAGCUGAAACUGAAUGCGUAAUUAGCCCGUUGUAUAAUUUAUGCAUGAUUCAUAACUUACGGACCGGUCAUUAUUUAUGGUGGGGGGUGGCACCGAAGAGGGAUGUUUUUCGUGGAAAAAAUUUUGCUGACCCAACCAUUAGAAAGUCAAAAAUUUGAUUACUCAACCUCAACUAUCAAUUAAAAAAUAAAUACCCACCCCUGGCCAAAAACUUUACAAAAGGAUACCAUUCAGUUGUCACACAUGUCCUUUACCACUUCUGUGACAUGAGUUUGAUGACGGCUUGUGAAAUUUUCUGCAGUCUAAAGUUUCAUAUUGUCUGCACAUGUUGUUUCUUUGGAGACACCAUUUGUUUCCCAACAAAUCGGAAAAUGAUCAAGAUAGUGACUCUGAUUGAUUCACAUAUUGUAUUGACAUAUGACUGUUGACAUGGCUUUUUAGUCUCCAACAUUUCAGUGAGUCAUGCUUUGGAAAUGACAAUAAUUUUUUUUAUUACCUAAUUUGUUUUUCAUUUAACCAACCUUUUACUUACUCAAAAUUUUGUUUACCCAACCCUUUCCUCUUCGGUGCCAACCCCCACCAUAAAUAAUGACCGGUCCCUUAAUUC